CCCGAAUGGGGAAACCCAGUGUGACUCGUCACACUAUCAUUAACUGAAUCCAUAGGUUAAUGAGGCGAACCGGGGGAACUGAAACAUCUAAGUACCCCGAGGAAAAGAAAUCAACCGAGAUUCCCCCAGUAGCGGCGAGCGAACGGGGAGGAGCCCAGAGCCUGAAUCAGCAUGUGUGUUAGUGGAAGCGUCUGGAAAGGCGCGCGAUACAGGGUGACAGCCCCGUACACAAAAGCGCAUGUGCUGUGAGCUCGAUGAGUAGGGCGGGACACGUGGUAUCCUGUCUGAAUAUGGGGGGACCAUCCUCCAAGGCUAAAUACUCCUGACUGACCGAUAGUGAACCAGUACCGUGAGGGAAAGGCGAAAAGAACCCCGGCGAGGGGAGUGAAAAAGAACCUGAAACCGUGUACGUACAAGCAGUGGGAGCCCCACCACCAAAGCAUUUGCUGUACCGCGUUGACGGAGCGAAGCGACGUCAAACCGAUAAAACAGCAGUGUAAAGUGAGCCGCAGGGCGCUUUGCGCGACAGCGCAAAGGCAGGCGGUUUCGCGUAGCGAAAGCGAAUGCUUUGGGGUGGGGUGACUGCGUACCUUUUGUAUAAUGGGUCAGCGACUUAUAUUCUGUAGCAAGGUUAACCGAAUAGGGGAGCCGGAGGGAAACCGAGUCUUAAUUGGGCGUUAAGUUGCAGGGUAUAGACCCGAAACCCGGUGAUCUAGCCAUGGGCAGGUUGAAGGUUGGGUAACACUAACUGGAGGACCGAACCGACUAAUGUUGAAAAAUUAGCGGAUGACCUGUGGCUGGGGGUGAAAGGCCAAUCAAACCGGGAGAUAGCUGGUUCUCCCCGAAAGCUAUUUAGGUAGCGCCUCGUGAAUUCAUCUCCGGGGGUAGAGCACUGUUUCGGCUAGGGGGCCAUCCCGGCUUACCAACCCGAUGCAAACUGCGAAUACCGGAGAAUGUUAUCACGGGAGACACACGGCGGGUGCUAACGUCCGUCGUGAAGAGGGAAACAACCCAGACCGCCAGCUAAGGUCCCAAAGUCAUGGUUAAGUGGGAAACGAUGUGGGAAGGCCCAGACAGCCAGGAUGUUGGCUUAGAAGCAGCCAUCAUUUAAAGAAAGCGUAAUAGCUCACUGGUCGAGUCGGCCUGCGCGGAAGAUGUAACGGGGCUAAACCAUGCACCGAAGCUGCGGCAGCGACACUGUGUGUUGUUGGGUAGGGGAGCGUUCUGUAAGCCUGUGAAGGUGUGUCGUGAGGCAUGCUGGAGGUAUCAGAAGUGCGAAUGCUGACAUAAGUAACGAUAAAGCGGGUGAAAAGCCCGCUCGCCGGAAGACCAAGGGUUCCUGUCCAACGUUAAUCGGGGCAGGGUGAGUCGACCCCUAAGGCGAGGCCGAAAGGCGUAGUCGAUGGGAAACGGGUUAAUAUUCCCGUACUUGGUGUUACUGCGAAGGGGGGACGGAGAAGGCUAUGUUGGCCGGGCGACGGUUGUCCCGGUUUAAGCGUGUAGGUGUGUGUUCCAGGUAAAUCCGGUUCACUUUAACACUGAGGCGUGACGACGAGGCACUACGGUGCUGAAGCAACAAAUGCCCUGCUUCCAGGAAAAGCCUCUAAGCAUCAGGUAACAUCAAAUCGUACCCCAAACCGACACAGGUGGUCAGGUAGAGAAUACCAAGGCGCUUGAGAGAACUCGGGUGAAGGAACUAGGCAAAAUGGUGCCGUAACUUCGGGAGAAGGCACGCUGACACGUAGGUGAAGUGAUUUACUCAUGGAGCUGAAGUCAGUCGAAGAUACCAGCUGGCUGCAACUGUUUAUUAAAAACACAGCACUGUGCAAACACGAAAGUGGACGUAUACGGUGUGACGCCUGCCCGGUGCCGGAAGGUUAAUUGAUGGGGUCAGCGCAAGCGAAGCUCCUGAUCGAAGCCCCGGUAAACGGCGGCCGUAACUAUAACGGUCCUAAGGUAGCGAAAUUCCUUGUCGGGUAAGUUCCGACCUGCACGAAUGGCGUAAUGAUGGCCAGGCUGUCUCCACCCGAGACUCAGUGAAAUUGAACUCGCUGUGAAGAUGCAGUGUACCCGCGGCAAGACGGAAAGACCCCGUGAACCUUUACUAUAGCUUGACACUGAACAUUGAGCCUUGAUGUGUAGGAUAGGUGGGAGGCUUUGAAGUGUGGACGCCAGUCUGCAUGGAGCCGACCUUGAAAUACCACCCUUUAAUGUUUGAUGUUCUAACGUGGACCCGUUACCCGGGUUGCGGACAGUGUCUGGUGGGUAGUUUGACUGGGGCGGUCUCCUCCUAAAGAGUAACGGAGGAGCACGAAGGUUGGCUAAUCCUGGUCGGACAUCAGGAGGUUAGUGCAAUGGCAUAAGCCAGCUUGACUGCGAGCGUGACGGCGCGAGCAGGUGCGAAAGCAGGUCAUAGUGAUCCGGUGGUUCUGAAUGGAAGGGCCAUCGCUCAACGGAUAAAAGGUACUCCGGGGAUAACAGGCUGAUACCGCCCAAGAGUUCAUAUCGACGGCGGUGUUUGGCACCUCGAUGUCGGCUCAUCACAUCCUGGGGCUGAAGUAGGUCCCAAGGGUAUGGCUGUUCGCCAUUUAAAGUGGUACGCGAGCUGGGUUUAGAACGUCGUGAGACAGUUCGGUCCCUAUCUGCCGUGGGCGCUGGAGAACUGAGGGGGGCUGCUCCUAGUACGAGAGGACCGGAGUGGACGCAUCACUGGUGUUCGGGUUGUCAUGCCAAUGGCACUGCCCGGUAGCUAAAUGCGGAAGAGAUAAGUGCUGAAAGCAUCUAAGCACGAAACUUGCCCCGA
rnacentral:rRNA from 1 species